rnacentral:rRNA from 1 species
CUACGGAGGGUGCAAGCGUUACUCGGAAUCACUGGGCGUAAAGCGCGCGCAGGCGGCUAUUUAAGUUGGAUGUGAAAGCCUACGGCUUAACCGUAGAACUGCAUCCAAAACUAUUUAGCUAGAGUGUGGGAGAGGAAGAUGGAAUUAGUUGUGUAGGGGUAAAAUCCGUAGAGAUAACUAGGAAUACCAAAAGCGAAGGCAAUCUUCUGGAACACUACUGACGCUGAGGCGCGAAAGCGUGGGGAGCAAACAGGAUUAGAUACCCCAGUAGUCC